rnacentral:tRNA from 2 species
GCGGACGUGGCUCAGUGGUAGAGCAUCACCUUGCCAAGGUGAGGGUCGCGGGUUCAAAUCCCGUCGUCCGCUC